rnacentral:tRNA from 1 species
GGAAAGAUGCGAGAGCGGUCGAAUCGGGCGGUCUCGAAAACCGUUGAGCCGCAAGGCUCCGGGGGUUCGAAUCCCCCUCUUUCCG